rnacentral:misc_RNA from 1 species
CUAGUUUACGAUUACAUGCCCGCUGGUAGCUUAUCGGCUCUGCUCCAUGGUAGCAGAGGGUCAGGCCGGACACCACUAGAUUGGGACAACCGGAUGAGAAUUGCUAUGAGCGCAGCGAGAGGCCUAGCUCAUCUCCAUGUGGUAGGAAAAGUGGUCCACGGCAACAUCAAAUCCUCCAAUAUUCUGCUACGACCCAAUCAGGACGCUUACGUCUCCGACUUCGGAAUCAACCCUCUCUUUGGCACAGCUACGCCACCCAGCCGUGUCGCUGGCUAUCGCGCCCCGGAAGUGGUUGAAACCCGUAAAGUGACCUUUAAAUCCGACGUGUAUAGUUUCGGGGUGUUACUGCUGGAACUUUUAACGGGGAAAGCACCCAAUCAAGCUUCCUUGGGCGAAGAAGGCAUUGACUUGCCCAGGUGGGUCCAGUCCGUAGUUCGAGAAGAAUGGACGGCUGAGGUUUUUGAUGUGGAGUUGAUGAGAUACCACAAUAUUGAGGAGGAAAUGGUGCAGCUCUUGCAAAUAGCAAUGGCGUGUGUUUCGACGGUGCCUGAUCAGAGACCGGCAAUGCAGGAAGUGCUCAGGAUGAUUGAGGAAAUUAAUAGGGUAGAGACCGAUGACGGAUUACGGCCGUCUUCUGAUGAUCCAUCUAAAGGAUCCGACGGACACACGCCACCUCCGGAAUCCAGGACCUCACCCAGAACUGUCACAC